GCAGUAGCCACGGUAAUACGUAGGGUGCGAGCGUUAAUCGGAAUUACUGGGCGUAAAGCGUGCGCAGGCGGUUUUGUAAGACAGAGGUGAAAUCCCCGGGCUCAACCGGGGAGGGUCAUUGGAAACUGGGAAACUUGAGUGCAGAAGAGGAGAGUGGAAUUCCAUGUGUAGCGGUGAAAUGCGUAGAGAUCUGGAGGAAUACCGGUGGCGAAGGCGGCCCCCUGGACAAAGACUGACGCUCAGGUGCGAAAGCGUGGGGAGCAAACAGGAUUAGAUACCCCUGUAGUCCCUGUCUCUUAUAA
rnacentral:rRNA from 1 species